rnacentral:lncRNA from 1 species
GAUUAACCCAGAUUUACUGGGUGGGACCUAAAUGUAAUCAUAGUUGUCCUUAUAAGACAAAGGCAGAGAGACAUUUAACUACAAAAGAGGAGAGAGUGAUACGAUGGCAUAAACAGCUGUGGAAGAGAUGUGCCUUAAGCAUGGAGGAAGUGGGCACAGGCCAAAGAAUAAAGGCAGCCCCAAGAUACUAUGAAAAAGCAAAGAUACAGAUUCUCCCUUCAGAGUUCCAGAAGCAACCAUCCUUGCCUACACCUGACCUUUAGGUGAAACUGAUUCUAAACUUCUGACUUCCAGAACUGCCAGAAAAUAAAUCUGUGUUGUUUUAAGCUACUAUUUGUUUUAAGCUACUAGAUGGCGACAGGAAACUAAUAUGCUUCCCAUUCUGGAAGAUAGUUCUAACACAAUGAAACAUAAAGUCCAGCAAGCAAAGUAAAGCAAUGACAACUGGGGCCUUUAGAGAGCAAGUAUUUUGGAGUGAUCAUGCAGAUGUCUCAGGACAGGAGGAAUGCACCCAGCUGGCAAUCAGGCAUUGAGAAUUACAAUAUCCAGUGUCCACAAUGUCACAACAUGGCACACAUUUGUAUUGUGAAAGACAACUCUGCUGAAUUACAACUAAUAAAGGUUAGGGUGGUGCGGACAAGAAGACAAUCUAUCCUGAACAAUAAUUAUCGGGUUUUUUCCAAAAAGUUACAUUUUAGAAGAGAAAAAAAGUUAAAAAGUCCUUUGGGUCAUUUCAGAGCUUAGCUGUGAGACUAUGACUCUGUCUGCCCUUGAGCCUAUUAGUCUCUUCCUCGACUCUGACCCCCUCCAUGAGGAGGAAGUUCAAAGUCAAGCUGCUCUGAGUUACAACUAAGCUAUAAAAGGAAUGGGUGAGGGACUUUCAUAUAACAGGGUACUAGGGAAGAACAGCAUUUGAGCCUAGAAACAGUCUGUCCACAUGGGUAUUCACUGAGCUGUGAUCAUCUAAUCUGGUUUUCAGCUAUCCUCAUCUGCUCACUUUGGUAUAUACAGAGAUGCUUGCAUUUGCAUCUGGUCACGGACAUAAAGUCCACCCUAGCAUUGAACUCCUGCACUUGUUCUGACUGGGAACUCUCUGAGGCCAAGCAAAUCAUGGCAGCCCAUGUCUGUCCUGCCUGAGGCUGCACAAGAUGGGGAGGGGGUGGCAGGGACAGUAGUGUACAGGGCCCCUUCAUAGAGACAGACAAUGUCAUCGAAUGAUAUUCCCUUCUUCUUUAGUCAAAGAGAAAGAACUACUCAGAGGAUGAUACUAGAUGCUUCAAGGGGAAAAAUGUCUUACUGGCACAAAUAAAUUUGUCAGUUUAACUUUUAAACAGAAUCAAACACAUUUUCUUUGUUAUGGCAUUGCUUAGGAGUUUUAAGAUGCUAACAUACUUUGUGACUCUCCAACAGUGGGAGGGUAUCAAGGCAGCAAGUAUCUACUGUAUUUGAGCAGACUGCCUGGAACAAACGCUCCCUGGAAUACUAUUUGGGAAACAUUGUUACGAUAUGCUUUGCAAUUGUUGUUAAAUCCUGUUGUUGUCACCAUUCAUCUAAUCACCAACACAGCCCAGGGGACAGUCCAGGGUGUGAGGGUAGUUUAACUCUAUGAGACUUUGAUAUUUCAUUUUAAUUCAGUCAAAUUCUCCUUUACAUCACCUUCAACAUGGAGAAGGGAACUUCCAAAGAUAGUGGGAAUAGAACAGGUGGAGCAAACUUCCAUCAUUCUCCGUCUUCUCCUUUUCUAAUUGCUCACAUCAAGCCACAGCACUAUUAUUCAUUUAAUAAGGUUGGAAACAAAGUUGUUUUGGAAACAACAUUGGGCAGGAAAUGGAGAAUCGAGUCCUAGACUUCUCCUAACUAGCUAUGUGGCAUUCAUCAAUUCACUUCACUUCCCUGGGACUCAUUUUCUUCAUUUUAUAGUGGGGAAUGUAAAGGGAGAAGUUGGGCUUAACUUUCCAUUCUAAUGACAUAAUGGCAUUCUGCCUAGUAACCAUCUUCAUUGGUUGGUGGGUCUAUUGUCUGGCAGACUCUUAGGUAAGAAAUCACUUCUCAUACUGCAUCGACACAGCAGACACUAAUAUUGAUAACCCUCUAUAUUUACACUGUACAUUGUACUUGUUCAACCAUUUCACAACCAUUACUUCAUUUGAUCAUUAAAACUGCCAACAAUACAAUCCAGUGAUUAUUAUUCUUUUUACAAAUAAGAAAACCAAGUUUCAGAUAUUUUUCCAAGGUGACCCUGCUGCUAAAUGACAGAACUGGGCUUGAACUCUGGCCCUGAGCCUUAGAGUCUCAUGAGUAUUUAGUGAUACAAUGUUUCCUUUCCAUUCUAAAACCCCAGCAAGGAGUAAUUUUGCUACAUUUUCCUUUGCUGCCAGACAAUCACCCUAGGAAAGGCAGUACUCAUUAUUUCUCUGAAGGGAAAACACAAUGUUAACUCAGG